CGCAGUGGGAGGACUGAAAUGUGGAAUUGAAAACGUCUUUUUCACAGAGCUGGAUCAAGGCAUGGAAGGGAGGCAGGAUUCUGGGGAGCAGCCAGCGCUGGUGGGAGCGUGGUUCCUGCAGAGACAUGGGAGGACACCCUGGCACUCAGCCCUGCAUGCGCAGUCCAGCCCACAGCUCCUUCUCAGGAAGUGACACUCUAGGCUUACAAAAUUAACAUGACCAGGUCCGAUGUUUCCCUCACUGAAUCCACACAACAGCACUUCAACCCCUCCGCACUCCCCGAUGGGGAAACCAAGGCUCCCAGCGGCAAUGCCAGUCACCCAAGAAUGUGUGACUUCCUAAUGGCACAUUAGGAAGCUUGAUCUAUUAAAUGAUACUUAUUUAUACCGACUGUACCACCUGUAUCAGGAAACAGAUGGCACACUCAAAAUAGAUAAGUCAAGGAGAUUUCUUUGUGCACUACUGACAAGGUGUGGGUGAGUAUGGUGCUGGCUUGGUGGCAGCCAAGCUGUUAGCCCCUAGGAAGGAAAGGCAAGAAAGUGGGUCUCAAGCCCAGGAGGGGACUGUGCAAAGCAGCCUCUGUAGACCCAGGACACAGCCCUCUCCAGGCGGCCCUGUGGAAUGGAGUCACUGAGACCGCUGCCCUGCCCUUGUCCUCUCCCCUCACUCCCUCUCACUCUUGCCAGAUCUAUCCCAAGCAGAAGCCCGGGGCAUGGGAACCCUUGAUGUGGUUCCUGCAGGUCAGCCUCGGGGCAGAGAGCAGGGAGGAGAAGGCAUGUGGAGCCGAUGAACUUGGACUAAGAAAGUAACACUGUGCCUGGCCACUCACGAGUCUGGGAUAACAGAAAUAGACAAAACCAGCUGGAACAUUGCUAAUGUUCGUCCCAAGGACACGCUGAAGCUGUGACAUGUCAGAACGACCACUGCUUUCUCAUUCACAGAAAGACCUUGUUCUCUCAAGCCACAGGCUGUUGAAAACUCUGCUGUCUGCAGUUGCAGUAGUAAGAGGCAGUAUCCCACCUCUGGAUGGAAGUCACUCUGAUACAGAGAAGCUGCUUCAAUUUCCACUCCAGCUGUAAAGUUUCAGAUGAAGGAAUCCUAGGCACAAAAUUCCACAUCCGUUUUAAUGUCAUGAUUUCCAAAGAAACAGGACCCUCCAUCCACUCUGCCAUCCAGUCCUGAGGCUGACCCAUUGUAUUAGUCCAUUCUCAUGCUGCUGACAAAGACACACCCGGGACUGGGUAAUUUAUAAAGAAAAAGAGGUUUGCUGGACUCACAGUUCCACAUGGCCGAGGAGCCCUCACAAUCAUGGUGGAAGGUGAAAGGCACGUCUUACAUGGCCGCAGACAAAAGAGAAUGAGAGCCAAGUGAAAUGGGUUUCCCUUUAUCAAACCGUCAGAUCUCAUGAGGCUUAUUCACUACCAUGAGAACAAUAUGGGGGAAACCAUCCCCAUGAUUCAGUUAUCUCCCACCAGGUCCCUCUUACAACAUGUGAGAAUUAUGGGAGCUACAGUUCAAGAUGAGAUUUGGAUGAGGACACAGCCAAACCGUGUCACCCAUCGACAUGCAGCACUGCUUUGUUUCAGCUUAUAAAAUCAAGACUGCAUUUAAAUUUCACCCAAGCUCCACUCUUCUGCAAGUCCUAUAAUAAUUUUGUCUCUUUGUUUUUUAAUUAUUUAUUUAUUUAUUUAUUUAUUUAUUUAUUUUGGUGAGACAGGAUGUCACUCUGUUGCCCAGGUUGGAGUGCAGUAAGUGAUCAUGGCUCACUGCAGUCUCAAACUCCUGGGCUCAAGUGAUCCUCCAGCUUCAGCCUCCGGAGUAGCUGGGACUACAGGUGUGUGCCACCAUGCCUGGCUAAUUUUCCUUCUUUUUUGUAGAGACAGGGAUCUCCCUAUGUUAUCCAGGCUGGUCUUGAGCUCUCAGCUUCAAGCAAUCAUCCUGCCUCAGCCUCUCAAAGUGCUGGGAUUGCAGGCAUAAUAAUUCUGUAUUUUCCCUUUCAGGUGAAUGCCCCAAAACUGGUGUGCACUGUUCCUCACUGCUCCAAUCCAAUAACCCUGACCUAAUCAGACUUCAUGUGUGCCCCUGGUGUUUGGGCUUGGGCAAGGAUCAAGGGAGAAAUUGGCUUAACUCUCCCUUCCCCCUUACGCUUGAGUGUAAUGUGAUGGCCACUUUCUAUCAGACUGUGUUGGUGUUUAUGAGCCUCCCUCAAGCUUUCAGGAAAGAGCAUGGGUUUUAAUCCUAGUAGGGAAACUGCUUUUCCACACAGGACAUGUUUAGCAAUUUUCUCUCUUCCUUUCGAAUUUUCUCUUUGUCCAGUUCACUGUCAUUUUCUUCCCCUUCUAUUCUGCUGGGCAUUCUGUGAGUCCUUUUGAAUGGAGGUUGGACCUCUCCUGCCUCUCUGCCUCCAGGGGAGGACUUUGAGCUCUUACAUAGCAAGUACUUUACAGGGAGAGAUGGGACAGGCUGCACCACACACACCUGGGGUGUGGAGGGCCCCCUGCCCUGGCGAGUGUGAGGGCAGUUGAGAGAUGGGUUGGGUUUUUUGGUUCCCUUGGAGGGAGUUCUCAGUUGCUUUUCUGAUUCAGAAAUGGAGCAGCAGCCCUCUCCACACACAUCUUCCUUGGCAGAGCCCCUCUGCCCGGAGCAGCAGGUUGCUUAGAUUCAGAUUAAGGGUCUUCCUGCUCCUGAGGUCUAAGAGUCACCUGCUCCUAAGCCAGGGCCCUCUGUUCCCCUCUCCUCUCUCUCUUCCAUCACUGUCAAGGAUAAGGGGUGCAGCACUUGAACCCCACGUGGAUAUUGCCUAUCAGGCUCACUGUGGGGCUCAUGUUGGUGUGCUGAAGUUUGUGCACCCCCCCACCUCCAUUCCCACCUUCCACCUCUCACUGGGGAGGAUGCUGUCUGCAUUCAUCACCAUCUUGACUCAGGACUAGACUUUAGGUUUCUUCAGAAAUUGGUGGAAUCUUCACUCUUAAGCUUCCAGUUUGGGUGCUUCUUUCCAGUGGCCACUAUCACAGGACCCCUGAGACCCUUACGUUCAGACCCAUGCCAGGCUGAAAGGAGAAGCACCACAUCAGACAUCCAAGUGUUGAUUCCGCCAUGGGGUCAGCCCAUGCUGUCAGCCCAGCCAGGCAACAGGUUCGGGGAGCUCGACUUUGGGCUUGGGUAUAGCAGAGGGGAACGUUGCUUCCUCUCUGCCCCUUGCUGGUUCUGCCAGUGGGGAUUGCUGGGCAGCCCAAACCCCACGAAUGAGGAGCGGAGCCAGUGCUGCUUCAGCGUGGCCUGCGAGAGUGGGUUAGGAAGCCCAGGCAUCGGCCCCUGACUGCUACUGUUUGGAUGGAGACUUCCCAAUGUGUCUAAUGAGGUUCUGUCAAAACCCCCGGGCUGCGGGCUCUUGGGAGGUAGUCGAGUAGCAUUUGACUUCUUAUAUUUCUUCAUUUAUUUACUUCUAACUGUGGUAAAUGCAUAUGAUGUAAAAUUGGCCAGCGUAACCAUUUUUAGGUGUACAGUUUAGUGGCAUUAAGCACAUUCACACUGUUGUGCAGCCAUCACCACCAUCCAGCUGCCACGCUCUUCAACCUCCCAAACAGAAACUCUACACAUUCAACAACUCCCCACUUCUCUCUCCUGCCAGCCCGACAACCCCCAUUCUACUGCCCGUCUGUAUGAACUUGACCACUCCAAUACCUCAUGUGGGUAAAAUCAUGCAAUGUUUGUCCUUUCAUGACUGGCUUAUUUCACUGGAUAGAGUGACCUCAGGGUCUAUCCACGUCACAACAUGUGUAGACUCUCCUUCCUCUGUAAGGCUGAGUAGUAUUCCACUGUAUAACAUAAGCCACGUUUUGCCCGUGCAUCCAUCCAUCCAUGCACACUUCACUUGCUUCCACUCUUGGAUUCUUGUGAACACAGGUGUUUGGGUGUCCUCUCGGCGGCAUACAUUUUGACUCCUGCCAAUCAAAGAUAUUCAACAGACAUCUUCUGAUGUCUGUUGAACAGAAUGGAUCUGAGCGAGGAGCUCAUGAAUCAUAUGAUCUCCCCAUAGCCCUGGGACCACAAAACUGUGAGAGGAGGAGGCCUGAGGACCUCUGUAAAUCAGGGAUGAUAGUUCAAGCUUGUGGGGAAAAUUCCAACUGUGUGGCUCUUUAGACUAAACAAGUCAGCAUCCCCCAUCCUUCCCAGUCCCCAUAGAAAACAGAAAGAGCAUGCCUGUUCUAGAGAUUUUGACUUCUUGGAAGUUCUCCCUCAGCCAGCAGCGCCAUCCCUGAAACCGUCAGGGAAAAGUGCUCUUCAUUUGUCCACGUGCCCUUGGCUGUUCUUAGUGGGAAGAAGCAAGCCUGGCUCUAAUUUAGUAUGCCUUUCCUCCCGCGAAUGUUGCAGGGGUCCUGCGUCAUCUUCAGGACCCUGUAAUGGAGUUUCCAAGGGGCUUGCCUCUCUGGUCCUCAACUCACUCGUGAGCCCUCUUGGCAGUCUGCACAACACCAUGUUGAUUCGUGACAGUUCUCCCAGUCCCUAAGCGGGAUGUUUGUGCAUUAGGAGGUUUGUGCCCUCCUUGCCAAGGGCCCAUCUCUCUCCCUCAGCCACUGUUGGCAGCUCUCAAGCUUCCCCUACCUUUACCAGAUGAGGAGAGCAGGACGGGACUGGGACUCUGAGCACAGCCUCCGCCGCAGACCCAUGUGUGUCGGGCCCCACACCACCCCAGUGGAGGGUGGUGACUGAUUUGGUCCUAGUUCCCCGGGUGGAAACUCUGCCUGUCCACCGCAGGUCCCUGAUGCUGGAGAGUAGAAGGUCACAGUCUGGGGGAGUUGACAUCCGGCACCAAAGGCUACUCAGGAACAAGGUUUUGCUGGGGGGAAAGCUACCCUCCUCUCUUACACUGUGGAGGCUCAGCUCUCCAGAGGAGCUGAGUUGUUGGCGGUAUUGCAAACUCACUCUGGCAUUGGGCCUGGAGCCCACAGGCCCAACACAAGAAGCUGGGCUAAUUAUAGCCAUCUCCAGCCUCUCUCAGACGUUCUGGGACCAUCUCCAGCAAGAAGCUCAGGGGCACUGGUCUAUGACGUCCAUACCCCGUGUCACAGCAGGCAACACAUCAUCAGCGGAGCUGCGAGCAACCAGCUCCUGCUGGGAAGGCCCAGACACUGGAAUUCAGACAGCAUUGACCUCAGAGAUGGCCCUGCCCCUGAGGAACAGAAAAGGGAAACCAGCUGGAAGUCGAGUGUGUCCUUCCAUGAGCCUGGCAUCAGCUACAGAGGGUAGCAAGAAAGGCCGGAGCCACAAGGCAGUGCCAAUGAGACAAGUAACCAAGGGACUCGUUGUAAAAAGCCUUCAUGAAUGGCACCAUGGCCAAAGCUGGGAGUGGGCUCACAUGCUCAGCACAAGUGCGAAUCUUACACUGUGUGGAUCAAGGCUCCCAGGCCUGUCAGCACCACAAGGCAGAGCCCCAGACUCCUGAGGCCUCAGCUUUCCACCCUCAGCACUACUACAAUUUGGACCACAUAAUUCCUUUUUGCUGGCUGUCUUGUCCAUUGUAAGAUGUUUAUUUAGCAGCAUCCCUGACUUCUACCUACCCUAUGCCGGUAGCAAUCCCCACUCCCAGUAUGACAAUCAAAAAUGUCUCCAGGUGGGGCACGGCAGCUUAUGCCUGUAAUCCUAGAACUUUGGGAGGCUGAGGCAGAUGAAUUGCCUGAGCUCAGGAGUUCGAGACCAGCCUGGGCAACAUGGUGAAACCCCAUCUCAACUAAAAAUACAAAAAUUAGCCAGGGGUGGUGGCAUGUACCUGUAGUCCCAGCUAUGUCGGAGGCUAAAGUGGGAGGAUUACUUAGGUCCAGGAUGUCGAGGCUGCAGUGAGUCAUGUUUGUGCCACUGCACUCCAGCCUGGGUGACAAAGGGAGAUCCUGUCUCAAAAAAAAAAAAAAAAA
rnacentral:lncRNA from 1 species